rnacentral:rRNA from 1 species
UACGAAGGGGGCUAGCGUUGCUCGGAAUCACUGGGCGUAAAGCGCACGUAGGCGGCUUCUUAAGUCAGGGGUGAAAUCCUGGAGCUCAACUCCAGAACUGCCUUUGAUACUGAGAGGCUUGAGUCCGGGAGAGGUGAGUGGAACUGCGAGUGUAGAGGUGAAAUUCGUAGAUAUUCGCAAGAACACCAGUGGCGAAGGCGGCUCACUGGCCCGGUACUGACGCUGAGGUGCGAAAGCGUGGGGAGCAAACAGG